AGAGUUUGAUCCUGGCUCAGGAUGAACGCUAGCUACAGGCUUAACACAUGCAAGUCGAGGGGAAACGAUAGAGAAAGCUUGCUUUUUCUAGGCGUCGACCGGCGCACGGGUGAGUAACGCGUAUCCAACCUGCCCAUCACUUGGGGAUAACCUUGCGAAAGUAAGACUAAUACCCAAUGAUAUCUCUAGAAGACAUCUGAAAGAGAUUAAAGAUUUAUCGGUGAUGGAUGGGGAUGCGUCUGAUUAGCUUGUUGGCGGGGUAACGGCCCACCAAGGCGACGAUCAGUAGGGGUUCUGAGAGGAAGGUCCCCCACAUUGGAACUGAGACACGGUCCAAACUCCUACGGGAGGCAGCAGUGAGGAAUAUUGGUCAAUGGACGAGAGUCUGAACCAGCCAAGUAGCGUGCAGGAUGACGGCCCUAUGGGUUGUAAACUGCUUUUAUAAGGGAAUAAAGUGAGUCUCGUGAGACUUUUUGCAUGUACCUUAUGAAUAAGGACCGGCUAAUUCCGUGCCAGCAGCCGCGGUAAUACGGAAGGUCCGGGCGUUAUCCGGAUUUAUUGGGUUUAAAGGGAGCGUAGGCCGGAGAUUAAGCGUGUUGUGAAAUGUAGACGCUCAACGUCUGCACUGCAGCGCGAACUGGUUUCCUUGAGUACGCACAAAGUGGGCGGAAUUCGUGGUGUAGCGGUGAAAUGCUUAGAUAUCACGAAGAACUCCGAUUGCGAAGGCAGCUCACUGGAGCGCAACUGACGCUGAAGCUCGAAAGUGCGGGUAUCGAACAGGAUUAGAUACCCUGGUAGUCCGCACGGUAAACGAUGGAUGCCCGCUGUUGGUCUGAAUAGGUCAGCGGCCAAGCGAAAGCAUUAAGCAUCCCACCUGGGGAGUACGCCGGCAACGGUGAAACUCAAAGGAAUUGACG
rnacentral:rRNA from 1 species